rnacentral:pre_miRNA from 1 species
CUCUGCUCACACAGUGUCUAAGUUGACGUAGUCCCAGGGUUUUCACAAUCUAUUCAAGACUUGUGGUUACGUCAGCUUUGCCAUUGUUGGGCACUG